rnacentral:rRNA from 1 species
UAGGGAAUCUUCCACAAUGGACGCAAGUCUGAUGGAGCAACGCCGCGUGAGUGAAGAAGGUCUUCGGAUCGUAAAGCUCUGUUGUUGGUGAAGAAGGAUAGAGGCAGUAACUGGUCUUUAUCUGACGGUAAUCAACCAGAAAGUCACGGCUAACUACGUGCCAGCAGCCGCGGUAAUACGUAGGUGGCAAGCGUUGUCCGGAUUUAUUGGGCGUAAAGCGAGCGCAGGCGGAAUGAUAAGUCUGAUGUGAAAGCCCACGGCUCAACCGUGGAACUGCAUCGGAAACUGUCAUUCUUGAGUGCAGAAGAGGAGAGUGGAACUCCAUGUGUAGCGGUGGAAUGCGUAGAUAUAUGGAAGAACACCAGUGGCGAAGGCGGCUCUCUGGUCUGCAACUGACGCUGAGGCUCGAAAGCAUGGGUAGCGAACAGGAUUAGAUACCCUGGUAGUCCAUGCCGUAAACGAUGAGCGCUAGGUGUUGGGGACUUUCCGGUCCUUCAGUGGCCGCAGCAAACG